AGAUUGAACGCUGGCGGCGUGCUUAACACAUGCAAGUCGAGCGGUAACGCGGGAGCAAUCCUGGCGACGAGCGGCGAACGGGUGAGUAAUGCUUGGGAAUCUGCCCAUUAGUGGGGAACAACCAGCCGAAAGGUUGGCUAAUACCGCAUACGCCCUACGGGGGAAAGCGGGGGAUCGUAAGACCUCGCGCUAAUGGAUGAGCCCAAGUCGGAUUAGCUUGUUGGUAGGGUAACGGCCUACCAAGGCGACAAUCCGUAGCUGGUCUGAGAGGACGACCAGCCACACUGGGACUGAGACACGGCCCAGACUCCUACGGGAGGCAGCAGUGGGGAAUAUUGGACAAUGGGGGAAACCCUGAUCCAGCGACGCCGCGUGUGUGAAGAAGGCCUGCGGGUUGUAAAGCACUUUUAGUGGGAUGAAAAGCCUAGGGUUAACACCUCUGGGUCUUGACCUAACCACAGAAAAGCACCGGCUAACUCUGCGCCAGCAGCCGCGGU
rnacentral:rRNA from 1 species